UACAGAGGGUGCGAGCGUUAAUCGGAAUUACUGGGCGUAAAGCGUGCGUAGACGGUUAUUUAAGUCGGGUGUGAAAGCCCCGGGCUCAACCUGGGAAUUGCAUUCGAGACUGAAUAGCUAGGGUACGGUAGAGGGAAGCGGAAUUUCCGGUGUAGCGGUGAAAUGCGUAGAUAUCGGGAGGAACACCAGUGGCGAAGGCGGUUGUCUGGAGCUUUGCUGACGCUGAGGCGCGAAAGCGUGGGGAGCGAGCCGG
rnacentral:rRNA from 1 species